rnacentral:rRNA from 1 species
GAGACUCUGUGCGCGUGCAUAUCAAUAAGCGGAGGAAAAGGAACUAACAAGGAUUCCCUUAGUAACGGCGAGUGAAGCGGGAAGAGCUCAAAUUUGAAAUCUUCAAGGUUUUACCUUGACGAAUUGUAGUUUAAAGAAGUGUUUUCUGUUGAAGUUUUGGUAAAAGUUCUUUGGAACAGGACAUCAUAGAGGGUGAGAAUCCCGUAUUUGACCAUUAUUUUCAGCUGUGUGAUACACUUUCAAAGAGUCGGAUUGUUUGGGAAUGCAGUCCAAAAUGGGUGGUAAAUUUCAUCUAAAGCUAAAUAUUGGCGAGAGACCGAUAGCGAACAAGUACCGUGAGGGAAAGAUGAAAAGAACUUUGAAAAGAGAGUUAAACAGUACGUGAAAUUGUCAAAGGGGAAGCGUUUGACACCAGUGUUGUUUUCUCGAAAAUCAAUUAAAAAGGGUUGGAUUUUGUGUUGUAUUGACCUUAACAGCUUGCUUCACUCUUUUCUUGCUUUUUUUAAUGCACUUUUCGUUUAACAAGUCAACAUCAGUUUCUUUUGUUGUAAAAGGGUCAUUGGAAGGUGGCUUUCCCUUCGGAGAAAGUGUUUAUAGCCUUUGAUCUCUGCAAUCGGAGAGACUGAGGUCUGCAGCGUAGAUCCUUCGGGGUUUAGAUACAUUUGUGCUAAGCUACAGCUUUUCAUAGACAACUUGUUGACUAUGUUUAGUCUUGUGACUUACCCGCUUAUGCUAUUUUACCUACGCUUAGGAUGUUGACUGAUAUGUAGUCGU